GAUGAACGCUGGCGGCGUGCCUAAUACAUGCAAGUCGAGCGAACAGACGAGGAGCUUGCUCCUUUGACGUUAGCGGCGGACGGGUGAGUAACACGUGGGUAACCUACCUAUAAGACUGGGAUAACUUCGGGAAACCGGAGCUAAUACCGGAUAAUAUUUCGAACCGCAUGGUUCGAUAGUGAAAGAUGGCUUUGCUAUCACUUAUAGAUGGACCUGCGCCGUAUUAGCUAGUUGGUAAGGUAACGGCUUACCAAGGCAACGAUACGUAGCCGACCUGAGAGGGGGAUCGGGCCCACAGGAACUGAGACCAGGGCCAGGCCCCUACGGGAGGCAACAGUAGGGAAGCUUCCGCAAAGGGGGGAAGCCUGACGGAGCAACGGCGGGGUGAUGAAGGAGGUCUUCGGGUCGGAAAACCCCGUUAUUAGGGAAGAACAAACGUGUAAGUAACUGUGCACGUCUGGACGGUACCUAAUCAGAAAGCCACGGCUAACUACGU
rnacentral:rRNA from 1 species